GUUAAAGAGCAACAGACUAAAAAUGGACCUCUGCGGCAGACCGCGAUUGUGCGGUCUUGCAUAUGAACGCCUGAGACAAACCCAGCCAGGAGUAUUAGCGUUUCUGGUAUGACAUGAUCGAACGCUCCAAUCAGGUCCAGGAACAAAACGCCAGUAAACUGAAGUCGGAAUGAGGAAAUUCUAAUUUUAGAAACAUAGAGUCCCUGUAACAGAGUCUGGCCAACACGGCAGUUUUGGCAAAAUUCUGCGAGAGAGAUAGAAAUAUACGUCAUCUUACUCUAAACGAACGCAUGCGCAUGACAGUGUUGCUACAUAUGGCUACAUAUGGAAAGUGCUGAAUUGUGAUCAGAAGUAUAUGAAGAAUAAUUCUGCAAAAUGGGGAUUCUAUAGAAACUAAAAGAACAAUACUAUCAGUGCACGAGAGCCCUUUCCUGAAGCCAAAUUGAAAGGAGGGAAGGAUGUUGUUAUUCUCUGCCCACCAUUCCAUUCUCUUGUAAACUAAUUUUUCGAACAGUUUCAAUAUGUUAUUGGAUAAAGAGAUGGGACGUAAGGCAUUUUUUUUAUUGUGUUUGGGGAUAAAUAUUACAAAAUAUUUUUUCCAGUCCGUUGGGAAUAAACAUUUAUGGAAUAUGAGAUUGAACAUUUUUAGAAUAAAAGUAUGCAUUUCAGAAGGAAAACGUCUUAGUAUUCGAUUGAAAAUUAAGUCCGCUCCGAGGCAAAGCGUAGUUUAAGGGAACUCAGAGCAGAGACAAAAAAGUAUCAUGAAAGAGGGAUCUAUGUUAGUGUGAAGAAUCGAUAUAUCAUUUAGGAAAGAAAGGAUACCGGCAUAAUUCUGAUUAGAGUUAGAAAUUCGGUUCAUCAAGUUCGGAGGGAUUAUGGUAUCAAACGCUUGUUUGAAGUGAUCGAGAGAAAUGUAAUUGUUAGAGGAUUCACCUCAUGCUGAUUUAAAUGGGUUAUAAAAGAAACGCAUUCCCACAUAGCACAGUAUGUCCUAUGUACAUUCAUUUUAUGUCAAUUUUAUGUCCGUAUAUCCAUGGAUAUAAAAUGAAUAUCCAUCGUAUAUCCGAUUUAAGAUAUCCGUCAAUAGGCAAUAUUAGGACGUCCACAGGAUGUCCGAUCUUGGACAUCUAAUCUAUUAUAGCAUAAGAUAUCCAUAGAAUCCUAAUUUGGUCGACAUUAUCCCAAACUCAGAUUAAAUGAGUCAUCUCCCUUAAGCAAAAUGUUAGCAGUAUGAUGGCAGAUUGGUAGCAGAUUUAAUCAAAAUCUGUUAAAACUGACAUCAACUGCGUUUGCAUUCAGCUAAUGUUUUGCCAGCAGAAUCUGCUAAUAUAAUAAGUCGACAGAUUGGCGGUAAAAUUUGAACAAACUUUGUUGACAUAACUAGGCGGCAGAUUGGCGACAGAAACCGAACAGAGUUUGCUAAUAUAAUCUGCUGAUAGAUUGACAGCAAAAAUCAAGCAGAUUCUGCAGCUUCUAGACAUUUAUAUAAAAUGGACAUUUAAAUGAAUUUAAACAUUAAAAAAAUUCCAAGUAACAAAAUGAUAAUAAAUUUUGGUCACAAAAUAACAUAAAUAAUUAGACAUCCUAAAUUAAAUCUCACGAAACCCAAAAAUGAUGUCAA